rnacentral:lncRNA from 1 species
CUGAAAUUCCAAAAGUCUAUCAUCAAUUUGGUCUGCUUAGUGAAUAAUGAGGGCAUUUCCUAUUUAGCGCUGCAGGCGGCCGUUAAUGUGUAUUCUGCUAACGGACGCCUCCAGCCACUUUAGCUGGGCUUGGCCCAUUUACUCCUUUUUUUUCCUGCUGUAAAGCCAAAAAAUAACAAGCGAGGUCACUGGGAUUCGAACCUAAACUUCACGGUUGGUGACGCGAAGCACAAACCAUUCCACCAUCCCGUGUUAGCUGCUCAGAUAAUGCUUCUUCCGUAUUUCUACUAUUUAGUUUUUUCCCUUUUUUCUAUUUCUUUUUCCCUUUUUUCUAUUUCUUUUUUCCUUUUUUCUUUUUUCAUCCUUUUCUUAUUCUAAAUGGUUUUUUCUUCUGUUUUUUUAUUCUUUGUACGAACACGAAAAAAAUAUCUCCUUCCUCUUUGUUCAAUGAACUUUCCAGAUCCGUCGACAUUCUCCCCAAAUAGAUGAACCUUUUUAAAAUUUGAUGAACUUCUCUUAGAAUCUAUGAAAUUUUUCAGAAUCGAUGAACUUAUUUUCAAAUUCGAUGAACUUAUUUUAAAUUAGAUGAACUUUUUUGAAAUUUGAUGAACUUUUUUCAAAUUUGAUGAACUUUUUUCAAAUCAAUUUACCUUUUUCUAAUCGAUGAAUGUUUUUCAAAAUCAAUGAACUUUUUCAAAUCCGAUGAACUAUUUUUCAAAUUUGAUGAACUGUUUUCAGAAUCGAUGAACUUAUUUCCAAAUUUGAUGAACUUAUUUUAAAUUAGAUGAAAUUUUUUGAAAUUCGAUGAACUUUUUUCAAAUCAAUCAACUUUUUUCUAAUCGAUAACGUUUUUCAAAAUCAAUGAACUUUUUUCAAAUCUGAUGAACUAUUUUUCAAAUUCGAUGAUCUUUUUUCAAAAACGAUGAACUUUCUUUCAAUAUGAUGAAAUUUUUUAAAACAUUGCUGAAAUUGUUUUCAAAUUCGUGAACUUUUUUCUCAAAUUGGUGUACUUUAUUCAAUUUUCUUGAACUUUUUUUUGUUUCACGUGAACUGUUUCAUUAUUUGUGAACUUUUAUGAAUACGUGAGUCUUUUCUUUUUUGAAUUAAAAUCGUUAACUUUUCUUAAUCUAUGAACUUUCAGUUUUUUGGAACUGCGCAGCCCGUAUUCCCUUAAUUACUGUCGAGGUCAUACUGAUCGCUAGUACUAAUUAGCUGUAGUGUUUAGCCGAGCCUGUUUAGAACACAGAGUUGUGAGUUCGAAUCCUGUGCGCUGCAACUAUUUUCAGGAAUUUUUGUUCGCUGGCGUUACGCGCUCGUCGGCCGGCCCAGCAAGACGCUGCUGCGAGCGCCAGUUGGCUAGAUGGCGCUGAACGCGCGCGUAGUAGGAUCCCAAUAAUGAGCACCUGGUGAACAAGUGCUGGUAGGCUUGGCCUACUUCCUGCGUGGAAUAUUUGUGUAGCUGUGUGUUUACUACAAAAAUUUCCCUUGAGAUCAAGCAGGGACACCUUUAGGCUGAUUCAAGAGUGCUACGUGCUAUAUGAUCACUAUGUUGCGUUGUUCAAUAAUCAACAGUUUCAGUCCAGUUUCUCUUGUAUCCUUUCUCCACUGUGCACUUCAAUUUGCAAUGAAAUUGGGCAUGCUGUUUUUUU